UGGGGAAUUUUGGACAAUUGGGCGAAAGCCUGAUCCAGCAAUGCCGCGUGUGUGAAGAAGGCCUUCGGGUUGUAAAGCACUUUUGUCCGGAAAGAAAUCCUUGGCUCUAAUACAGUCGGGGGAUACGGUACCGGAAGAAUAAGCACCGGCUAACUACGUGCCAGCAGCCGCGGUAAUACGUAGGGUGCAAGCGUUAAUCGGAAUUACUGGGCGUAAGCGUGCGCAGGCGGUUUGCUAAGACCGAUNUGAAAUCCCCGGGCUCAACCUGGGAACUGCAUUGGUGACUGGCAGGCUAGAGUAUGGCAGAGGGGGGUUAGAAUUCCACGUGUAGCAGUGAAAUGCGUAGAGAUGUGGAGGAAUACCGAUGGCGAAGGCAGCCCCCUGGGCCAAUACUGACGCUCAUGCACG
rnacentral:rRNA from 1 species